AGAAUGAACGUUGGCGGCGUGGAUUAGGCAUGCAAGUCGAACGGGCCUGGUAGCAAUACCAGGUCAGUGGCGUAAGGGUGAGUAAGGCGACGGCAACCAACCCCAUGGUUGGGCAUAGCCGCGGGAAACUGCGGGUAAUUCCCAGCGAUGUUCGUACCGGGCAUCCGGUGUGAACCAAAGUUCUGGCGCCGUGGGACGGGCCGUCGUGGUAUUAGGUAGUUGGCGGGGUAAUGGCCCACCAAGCCUCUGAUGCCUACCGGGCGUGCGAGCGUGGCCCGGCACACUGGGACUGAGACACUGCCCAGACUCCUACGGGAGGCUGCAGUCGAGAAUCUUCGGCAAUGGGCGCAAGCCUGACCGAGCGACGCCGCGUGGAGGAUGAAGGCCUUCGGGUUGUAAAAUUCUUUCAGCGGGGACGAUAAUGACGGUACCCGCAGAAGAAGCCCCGGCUAACUUCGUGCCAGCAGCCGC
rnacentral:rRNA from 1 species